rnacentral:tRNA from 1 species
UGGGGUGUAGCUCAGUGAUAGAGCCCUUGCCUAGCACACACAAGGUCCUGAGUUUGAUCCCCAGCACCACAG